rnacentral:rRNA from 1 species
GGGUUGUGAGGUUAAGCGACUAAGCGUACACGGUGGAUGCCCUGGCAGUCAGAGGCGAUGAAGGACGUGCUAAUCUGCGAUAAGCGUCGGUAAGGUGAUAUGAACCGUUAUAACCGGCGAUUUCCGAAUGGGGAAACCCAGUGUGUUUCGACACACUAUCAUUAACUGAAUCCAUAGGUUAAUGAGGCGAACCGGGGGAACUGAAACAUCUAAGUACCCCGAGGAAAAGAAAUCAACCGAGAUUCCCCCAGUAGCGGCGAGCGAACGGGGAGCAGCCCAGAGCCUGAAUCAGUGUGUGUGUUAGUGGAAGCGUCUGGAAAGGCGCGCGAUACAGGGUGACAGCCCCGUACACAAAAAUGCACAUGCUGUGAGCUCGAUGAGUAGGGCGGGACACGUGGUAUCCUGUCUGAAUAUGGGGGGACCAUCCUCCAAGGCUAAAUACUCCUGACUGACCGAUAGUGAACCAGUACCGUGAGGGAAAGGCGAAAAGAACCCCGGCGAGGGGAGUGAAAAAGAACCUGAAACCGUGUACGUACAAGCAGUGGGAGCACGCUUAGGCGUGUGACUGCGUACCUUUUGUAUAAUGGGUCAGCGACUUAUAUUCUGUAGCAAGGUUAACCGAAUAGGGGAGCCGAAGGGAAACCGAGUCUUAACUGGGCGUUAAGUUGCAGGGUAUAGACCCGAAACCCGGUGAUCUAGCCAUGGGCAGGUUGAAGGUUGGGUAACACUAACUGGAGGACCGAACCGACUAAUGUUGAAAAAUUAGCGGAUGACUUGUGGCUGGGGGUGAAAGGCCAAUCAAACCGGGAGAUAGCUGGUUCUCCCCGAAAGCUAUUUAGGUAGCGCCUCGUGAAUUCAUCUCCGGGGGUAGAGCACUGUUUCGGCAAGGGGGUCAUCCCGACUUACCAACCCGAUGCAAACUGCGAAUACCGGAGAAUGUUAUCACGGGAGACACACGGCGGGUGCUAACGUCCGUCGUGAAGAGGGAAACAACCCAGACCGCCAGCUAAGGUCCCAAAGUCAUGGUUAAGUGGGAAACGAUGUGGGAAGGCCCAGACAGCCAGGAUGUUGGCUUAGAAGCAGCCAUCAUUUAAAGAAAGCGUAAUAGCUCACUGGUCGAGUCGGCCUGCGCGGAAGAUGUAACGGGGCUAAACCAUGCACCGAAGCUGCGGCAGCGACGCUUAUGCGUUGUUGGGUAGGGGAGCGUUCUGUAAGCCUGUGAAGGUGUGYUGUGAGGCAUGCUGGAGGUAUCAGAAGUGCGAAUGCUGACAUAAGUAACGAUAAAGCGGGUGAAAAGCCCGCUCGCCGGAAGACCAAGGGUUCCUGUCCAACGUUAAUCGGGGCAGGGUGAGUCGACCCCUAAGGCGAGGCCGAAAGGCGUAGUCGAUGGGAAACAGGUUAAUAUUCCUGUACUUGGUGUUACUGCGAAGGGGGGACGGAGAAGGCUAUGUUGGCCGGGCGACGGUUGUCCCGGUUUAAGCGUGUAGGCUGGUUUUCCAGGCAAAUCCGGAAAAUCAAGGCUGAGGCGUGAUGACGAGGCACUACGGUGCUGAAGCAACAAAUGCCCUGCUUCCAGGAAAAGCCUCUAAGCAUCAGGUAACAUCAAAUCGUACCCCAAACCGACACAGGUGGUCAGGUAGAGAAUACCAAGGCGCUUGAGAGAACUCGGGUGAAGGAACUAGGCAAAAUGGUGCCGUAACUUCGGGAGAAGGCACGCUGAUAUGUAGGUGAAGUCCCUCGCGGAUGGAGCUGAAAUCAGUCGAAGAUACCAGCUGGCUGCAACUGUUUAUUAAAAACACAGCACUGUGCAAACACGAAAGUGGACGUAUACGGUGUGACGCCUGCCCGGUGCCGGAAGGUUAAUUGAUGGGGUCAGCGCAAGCGAAGCUCUUGAUCGAAGCCCCGGUAAACGGCGGCCGUAACUAUAACGGUCCUAAGGUAGCGAAAUUCCUUGUCGGGUAAGUUCCGACCUGCACGAAUGGCGUAAUGAUGGCCAGGCUGUCUCCACCCGAGACUCAGUGAAAUUGAACUCGCUGUGAAGAUGCAGUGUACCCGCGGCAAGACGGAAAGACCCCGUGAACCUUUACUAUAGCUUGACACUGAACAUUGAGCCUUGAUGUGUAGGAUAGGUGGGAGGCUUAGAAGUGUGGACGCCAGUCUGCAUGGAGCCGACCUUGAAAUACCACCCUUUAAUGUUUGAUGUUCUAACGUUGACCCGUAAUCCGGGUUGCGGACAGUGUCUGGUGGGUAGUUUGACUGGGGCGGUCUCCUCCUAAAGAGUAACGGAGGAGCACGAAGGUUGGCUAAUCCUGGUCGGACAUCAGGAGGUUAGUGCAAUGGCAUAAGCCAGCUUGACUGCGAGCGUGACGGCGCGAGCAGGUGCGAAAGCAGGUCAUAGUGAUCCGGUGGUUCUGAAUGGAAGGGCCAUCGCUCAACGGAUAAAAGGUACUCCGGGGAUAACAGGCUGAUACCGCCCAAGAGUUCAUAUCGACGGCGGUGUUUGGCACCUCGAUGUCGGCUCAUCACAUCCUGGGGCUGAAGUAGGUCCCAAGGGUAUGGCUGUUCGCCAUUUAAAGUGGUACGCGAGCUGGGUUUAGAACGUCGUGAGACAGUUCGGUCCCUAUCUGCCGUGGGCGCUGGAGAACUGAGGGGGGCUGCUCCUAGUACGAGAGGACCGGAGUGGACGCAUCACUGGUGUUCGGGUUGUCAUGCCAAUGGCACUGCCCGGUAGCUAAAUGCGGAAGAGAUAAGUGCUGAAAGCAUCUAAGCACGAAACUUGCCCCGAGAUGAGUUCUCCCUGACCCUUUAAGGGUCCUGAAGGAACGUUGAAGACGACGACGUUGAUAGGCCGGGUGUGUAAGCGCAGCGAUGCGUUGAGCUAACCGGUACUAAUGAACCGUGAGGCUUAACCUUACAACGCCGAAG